UCCGAGUUGACCCCGGCAGUCUCCUAUGAGUCCCCACCAUCACGUGCUGGCAACAUAGAACGAGGGUUGCGCUCGUUGCGGGACUUAACCCAACAUCUCACGACACGAGCUGACGACAACCAUGCACCACCUGUACAGGAUCCCUUACGGACCCGACGUCUCUGCCGGAUUACCCUGCAUGUCAAGCCUUGGUAAGGUUCUUCGCGUUGCAUCGAAUUAAUCCGCAUGCUCCGCCGCUUGUGCGGGCCCCCGUCAAUUCCUUUGAGUUUUAGCCUUGCGGCCGUACUCCCCAGGCGGGGCGCUUAAUGCGUUAGCUGCGGCACAGAACUCGUGGAAUGAGCCCCACACCUAGCGCCCAACGUUUACGGCAUGGACUAC
rnacentral:misc_RNA from 1 species